GUCGCAGGCGCAUCUCAGGGAACGGGGCCGCCUGGUGGAGGAGCUGCGCGCCCUCAAGGUCCACGACGAGACGGUGGAGGAGUGCUGGCGCCGCGGCAUCGCCCUGCUCCAUGCUGGCUUCAUCGUGGGGGAGCGUCGGCUGGUGGAGGCGGGGGUCAGCUCUGGCGCAUUCAGGGUGGUCUGCGCGACGACUCUCGCUGGAGACUUCCCUGGCCUGCUCUUCGACCGUGUCGUGCUCAGGUC
rnacentral:lncRNA from 1 species